AUAAAAAAAAAAAUGUAGCUCAUCAGCCAGGCUGAGCUGGUGAGGCCAGAAGUGUUACCUGCGAGAAGAGAAAAAGGGAAAGGAGGCAGGUGACCAGGAGAAGGUCUUCCUCAGCUUACAUCACCAGCUCAACCGCAGAGACGCGCUCACGGUGACCCCCGGUGUGGCUAUGAGAGCCUGAGAGCCCAGGUUGGUGCAGUGAAGAGGGGGCCACAUUGCUCCCCUUAUCCCCGCCAAGACGCAGGCCUAGAGCUAUACCUCCGGCAGGUCCCCACCAGGAGCCCUGCUCUCCCUCUGUCUCAGCGAAGGUCCCCAGCCUUUGAACUAGGAGGAGAGGCAAUGCUGAGCUCUUCUAGGGACAGGGCACCGUGGGAAAGAUGAUGGCAUCUUCUGUUUCAAUCACCACGACCCUCUAUGGAGAAUAUUGCUUUCCUGUCCUGCAAAUGGGGAACUGAGCUUUGGAGAAGUCAAUUAACUUACCAAGGGUCACACAGCUCCUCGGUGGGAGAGGCUGAACUUAACCUCGAGUUGCCUGCAAUUAACCAGGUGCUACCUCUGCUCCCUAAGGAGACUUCUCCUCAACCCUGUGGCCCUCCACCACAUCAAGAGCGCUGUGGGCUUUGUCCCUCUGGUUUGCAGGAACCUUGUCUUGCCCACCUUGGCCAGGAUGGGCGUUGUGCUGAAAGGCAACCUUGGUAUGUGCUUGGAACCCAACUGGCAAGCUCUCCUGUAGCUCCCGUUGGCCAUUGUUCCUGAAGCUCCCAGGACUCCAGCGUCAGGCUCAUUGCAUUGUUCUACAGCUGAGUGAUUGUCAGUUGGCAUCUGACCAUUUCUCACCAACAGAUGUUGCUGGCACACACACAGACCUCCCGUUAGGUCUGUGCCACCCUUGUGCUUCUGGUUAUGCUGUCCUUCCACACGGAACGCAGAGAGCCCUGGCCAUAAGUGCCUUCCUCUAGGUGGGGGUCUCUGCCCACUCCUUGCCCUUGGUUUUCUCACCUGGUUUUCAGUGCUCUUCUUCCUCCCUCCUCAGUCAUGGUAACUCUACCACUCCUUGCGCCAGUCCUGAUUAGCUACUCUUCUGCCACCUGGGAGGGGUGUGUUCCCACUCUACUGGCCUCAGGUGUGGCAUCUCACUUGUUUUGGUUAAAGGAAUUUCAGUGAAAAAUUCGACGUUAUUGCUGGCAAGUCUGGGCCACCAUGGGGUCCUGCCAUUGUUCUGCCCUUUGAAUGGGCAGUAGAUUCAUCCUGGGUUCACAGUGAAGAAGACCAUGGGCUGCGGCAGCUCCUGAGACGGGGCAGCCAGGAUUACCAGCACAGGACAAGUUUCAUGCUGGAGUCAAUCACACAGAUUUGGGAGUUAUCUGUUACUGCAGUGAAUCUGACAAAAAUCCACAUGAGAACUGGAAACAAGGAAUCAAAACCGAGAAGAUGAUAUGUAACAAAGCCUCCAUAGAGGGCAUUAAAGGUCAUCUGUCCAUGGAAAUGCCCAUUGCAGCCUGCCCUUGCCCCCUCCAAGGACAUGCUGCUACGAAAGCUACCCUGGUCUCUUCAACCUCAUCAUCUGAACCUUCUCACCCUGUGUUGUGGGAACCAAUAAAGUUACUGCGCUGGCUCCUGACCAGCUCCCGGAUGCCCUUGUUCCUGUGAAUGCUCUCCAGCCCCCCAAACUGUGCCCAAACUCCUCCUCAGCUGCCCAAGGAGCCACUCUUCCUCUCCUUCUUCCUUACACAAACAUCUACUGGACACUCACUCUGAAUGGCACUCCGUUUAGGGGCUUGCUAAGAGGACAUUAUGGACAGAUGUCCCAGGUUCACAUCCAGGUUCUGGGGGUUGCAAAUUAUUUGGAGUCCCCUCUUUAAAAGAAGAAUGCAAAAUUACGAAUACCGAAUGAGGUACAGGCCUUGAAGGGCUCAUGCGAGCAAGAGGGCUGAAGCUGACUCUUCCCUCACGUCACGGCCAGUGCCCUUAUGGGACAGGGGGCCAGUGCCCUUAUGGGACAGGGGCCAGUGCCCUUACUGGGGAAAGGGAGGGCGAAUGUGAAGAGGACAUGGAAUUCUCAGGUGAUGGAGAGAGCUAAGUUGAGAAAAAAUGAGGCCACACAACAGGAAAUAGCUGGGUGGCUCCUUCAGAGUGG
rnacentral:lncRNA from 1 species